rnacentral:lncRNA from 1 species
CAUGCCUUUGUAGAAUAUUUUAUUUAACAUCCAUGAAGAUCACAGAGAAGCUUUAAAUAUCAGUUUACUCGCACAAAAUAGCCACAGCUCAACAGUUUCACCUUUCAAUGAAGCAUUCAACUGGCAUGCUUCCAUGAGAUCUGUCUAUUCAGCCAUAUCAUUUUUUCACCUUGGAAUUCAAAGAACAGCUGGACGCUUUUCUUAGCCUACUUUACAAAGUGCAAGUCUCCUACAACAAUGUUUAUUUGCACCUAAAAUCUUCAGCAAAUAUAUUCUUCCAAAGCUGUUUUUGAAAAUCAGUGAAUGACAUUAUUUUAAGCACCUCUAAAUGCUACACAUUUCUGAGAUAUUUUAACUUUCUCUGGACGAUGUAUACCUCGUUGGGGAUUGAAUGUUCUUUUAUAUCUUCCCCUACCCAUCCUCAAACAUUUGAGAUUGUUUUGGCCUCCAAAAUGCAUGCCACAAAGUAAAUCUGGCUAACGAGUUUAACAGUGAAAAAUACUGUUGUAUUUAUCUUCUAAGUUUUCUGUACUUCUCGUGUAUUAUUUUUAUCCUGGAAAUAAAAAUGUGAAAAAAGAUUUCAGCAAUAGCUAGGACAGUUUAUUUAUAGUAACAGCAGCAGGAAUUCUAGAACUUGAAAAGGUCAGCAUCAAUGACAGGUGGAUAUAUAGCUGGUAAAAUUCUAGGAGUGUUUACACUGGGGAUUUGAGGCCAAGGGUAAGGCCCUACUGGCUUCAGAUUAUCUCACUUACUAGGCUUCCACAUGGCCAGUGUGCUGCCCUGCCUGGUAGGAAAUCCUCACUGUGAGAACCAUUCUGAUAAG